rnacentral:rRNA from 1 species
CAUGCAAGUCGAACGAAGCACGUAAGACGGACUUCUUCGGAACGAAGACUUUUGUGACUGAGUGGCGGACGGGUGAGUAACGCGUGGGUAACCUGCCUUGUACAGGGGGAUAACAGUUGGAAACGACUGCUAAUACCGCAUAAGCGCACAGUACCGCAUGGUACGGUGUGAAAAACUCCGGUGGUACAAGAUGGACCCGCGUCUGAUUAGCUAGUUGGAGGGGUAACGGCCCACCAAGGCGACGAUCAGUAGCCGACUUGAGAGAGUGAUCGGCCACAUUGGGACUGAGACACGGCCCAAACUCCUACGGGAGGCAGCAGUAGGGAAUAUUGCACAAUGGGGGAAACCCUGAUGCAGCGACGCCGCGUGAAGGAUGAAGUAUUUCGGUAUGUAAACUUCUAUCAGCAAGGAAGAUAAUGACGGUACUUGACUAAGAAGCCCCGGCUAAAUACGUGCCAGCAGCCGCGGUAAUACGUAUGGGGCAAGCGUUAUCCGGAUUUACUGGGUGUAAAGGGAGCGUAGGCGGCAUGGCAAGUCAGAAGUGAAAGCCUGGGGCUCAACCCCGGAAUUGCUUUUGAAACUGUCAGGCUGGGGUGUCGGAGGGGUAAGCGGAAUUCCUAGUGUAGCGGUGAAAUGCGUAGAUAUUAGGAGGAACACCGGUGGCGA